rnacentral:rRNA from 1 species
CCUACGGGAGGCAGCAGUGAGGAACAUUGGUCAAUGGACGAGAGUCUGAACCAGCCAAGUAGCGUGGAGGAUGACUGCCCUAUGGGUUGUAAACUUCUUUUAUAAAGGAAUAAAACGAGGCACGUGUGCCUUUUUGCACGUACUUUAUGAAUAAGGAUCGGCUAACUCCGUGCCAGCAGCCGCGGUAAUACGGAGGAUCCGAGCGUUAUCCGGAUUUAUUGGGUUUAAAGGGAGCGUAGAUGGGUUGUUAAGUCAGUUGUGAAAGUUUGCGGCUCAACCGUAAAAUUGCAAUUGAUACUGGAAGUCUUGAGUACAGUUGAGGUAGGCGGAAUUCGUAGUGUAGCGGUGAAAUGCUUAGAUAUCACGAAGAACCCCGGUUGCGAAGGCAGCUUACUAAACUGUGACUGACAUUGAUGCUCGAAAGUGUGGGUAUCAAACAGGAUUAGAUACCCGUGUAGUC